GAUGAACGCUGGCGGCGUGCCUAAUACAUGCAAGUCGAGCGAACGGACGAGAAGCUUGCUUCUCUGAUGUUAGCGGCGGACGGGUGAGUAACACGUGGAUAACCUACCUAUAAGACUGGGAUAACUUCGGGAAACCGGAGCUAAUACCGGAUAAUAUUUUGAACCGCAUGGUUCAAAAGUGAAAGACGGUCUUGCUGUCACUUAUAGAUGGAUCCGCGCUGCAUUAGUUAGUUGGUAAGGUAACGGCUUACCAAGGCAACGAUGCAUAGCCGACCUGAGAGGGUGAUCGGCCACACUGGAACUGAGACACGGUCCAGACUCCUACGGGAGGCAGCAGUAGGGAAUCUUCCGCAAUGGGCGAAAGCCUGACGGAGCAACGCCGCGUGAGUGAUGAAGGUCUUCGGAUCGUAAAACUCUGUUAUUAGGGAAGAACAUAUGUGUAAGUAACUGUGCACAUCUUGACGGCACCUAAUCAGAAAGCCACGGCUAACUACGUG
rnacentral:rRNA from 1 species